rnacentral:rRNA from 1 species
AUUCAUUAUUAUCUUUUAAAAGACCUAGUAAUAGGUAUACUUUAGGAGGGGCUUGCGCCAUAUUAGUUAGUUGGUAGGGUAAUGGCCUACCAAAACGAUGAUGUGUAGCUGGACUGAGAGGUUGAACAGCCACAUUGGGACUGAGACACGGCCCAAACUCCUACGGGAGGCAGCAGUAAGGAAUUUUCGGCAAUGGAGGAAACUCUGACCGAGCAACGCCGCGUGAACGACGAAGUACUUUGGUAUGUAAAGUUCUUUUAUCAAGGAAGAAAAGCAAGUGGCGAACCAUUUGUUUGCCGGUACUUGAUGAAUAAGCCCCGGCUAAUUAUGUGCCAGCAGCCGCGGUAAGACAUAAGGGGCAAGUGUUAUCCGGAAUUAUUGGGCGUAAAGGGUGCGUAGGCGGUCUAGUAAGUCAGUGGUGUAAUGGCAACGCUCAACGUUGUCCGGCUAUUGAAACUGCUAAACUUGAGUUAGAUAGAGGCGAGUGGAAUUCCAUGUGUAGCGGUAAAAUGCGUAAAUAUAUGGAGGAACACCAGAGGCGUAGGCGGCUCGCUGGGUCUUAACUGACGCUGAGGCACGAAAGCGUGGGGAGCAAACAGGAUUAGAUACCCUGGUAGUCCACGCCGUAAACGAUGAGUACUAAGUGUCGGGUUAAACCGGUACUGAAGUUAACACAUUAAGUACUCCGCCUGAGUAGUACGUACGCAAGUAUGAAACUUAAAGGAAUUGACGGGACUCCGCACAAGCGGUGGAUCAUGUUGUUUAAUUCGAAGAUACCCGAAAAACCUUACCAGGUCUUGACAUGUUUUUGCGAAACGGUAGUAAUAUCGUAGAGGUUACCAGAAACACAGGUGGUGCAUGGUUGUCGUCAGCUCGUGUCGUGAGAUGUUAGGUUAAGUCCUAAAACGAGCGAAACCCUUAUCGUUAGUUGCCAGCACGUUAUGGUGGGGACUUUAACGAGACUGCCAGUGAUAAACUGGAGGAAGGUGAGGAUCACGUCAAAUCAGCAUGCCCCUUAUGACCUGGGCUACAAACGUGAUACAAUGGCUGUUACAAAGGGUAGCUGAAACGUAAGUUCUUGGCCAAUCCCCAAAAACAGUC